ACCGACUCUCUUUUCGGACUCAGUCCGCCUGCACCCGGGUGAAAUAAACAGCCAUGUUGCUCACACAAAGCCUGUUUGGUGGUCUCUUCACACGGACGUGCAUGAAAUUUGGUGCCGUGACUCGGAUCGGGGGACCUCCCUUGGGAGAUCAAUCCCCUGUCCUCCUGUUCUUUGCUCCACGAGAAAGAUCCACCUACGACCUCAGGUCCUCAGACUGACCAGCCCAAGGAACAUCUCACCAAUUUUAAAUCAGGAGCUUGCUACAUGUGCCAGAAAUCUGGCCACUGGGCCAAGGAAUGCCUGCAGCCCGGGAUUCCUCCUAAGCCGUGUCCCAUCUGUGUGGGACCCCACUGAAAAUCGGACUGUUCAACUCACCUGGCAGCCACUCCCAGAGCCCCUGGAACUCUGGCCCAAGGCUGACUGACUCCUUCCCAGAUCUUCUCGGCUUAGCGGCUGAAGACUGACACUGCUUGAUCGCCUCGGAAGCCCCCUAGACCAUCACAGACGCCGAGCUUCCGGUAACUCUCACAGUGGAAGAAGGCAGGAAUGUCAGGCCUCUGAGCCCAAGCCAAGCCAUGGCAUCCCCUGUGAUUUGCACAUGUACGCCCAGAUGGCCUGAAGUAACUGAAGAAUCACAAAAGAAGUGAAUAUGCCCUGCCCCACCUUAACUGAUGACAUUCCACCACAAAAGAAGUGUAAAUGGCCAGUCCUUGCCUUAAGUGAUGACAUUACCUUGUGAAAGUCCUUUUCCUGGCUCAUCCUGGCUCAAAAAGCACCCCCACUGAGCACCUUGCGACCCCCACUGCUGCCUGCCAGAGAACAACCCCCCUUUGACUGUAAUUUUCCUUUACCUACCCAAAUCCUAUAAAACGGCCCCACCCCUAUCUCCCUUCACUGACUCUCUUUUCGGACUCAGUCCGCCUGCACCCGGGUGAAAUAAACAGCCAUGUUGCUCACACAAA
rnacentral:lncRNA from 1 species